UUAUAGUCCAUUUCAAAAUAGGCAUGCAUUAUUAAAAAUUGAGUUAUCUUUCUUUGUGCCUGAUUUUUUUGUAAUUUUCACUUAAUCAUUUUUACAGGGUUUCCUCAGCAGACAGAAACAUGUGAGAGUAGACCAACACAGUUCAGUAUACAAGAAAGCUCAUCAUCUGAUCAAAUAUAUACUGCUGAACCUGUCAGCUCACCCAUUCCAGCACAGAUUGCUGUCUCAGGAUGCCAGACAGCUGAUGAACCACCAUCUUCUGUGGAGAGUAUCUGGAUUAGAAGACUGGAGCAGGUUCACCAGAGAAAUGAAGAAACACCUUAUACUGAACAUGCCAACCUAUCAGCCCAAAUACCUCUUUCAUUUACUAAUAGCAGCACUCAGCAACCACCAAAAGCCAGUGAGAAUAAACGGACAAAGAAACCCAAGAGAACUGCAGAAGAUGUGUACGAGUUGCAGUGUCAGGCAUUAGAGAGCGAGCUAAAAAGAAAUCGGACCCAAAUGGAACUUUUCAAGAAGCAAAUGGAGUUUUAUGAUUUGAUAAAGAAAAAUUUUGAAAAUAGUUGUACAGAGUCAAUGUUAGAGGCUUUAUUUCAGUAACUUUAAUCAACAUUUAUCUAUAGUUCCAUAUUAAUGUUA